UACGUAGGCAGCGAGCGUUGUUCGGAAUUACUGGGCGUAAAGAGUGUGUAGGCGGUGUUCCAAGUCUGGUGUGAAAUCUCCCGGCUCAACUGGGAGGGUGCGCCGGAAACUGGAAUGCUAGAGGGUGGGAGAGGUAAGCGGAAUUCCUGGUGUAGCGGUGAAAUGCGUAGAUAUCAGGAGGAACACCGGUGGCGAAGGCGGUUCUCUGGGCCUGUACUGACGCUGAGGAGCGAAAGCGUGGGGAGCGAACAGG
rnacentral:rRNA from 1 species